UUCAAAAAUAUCAUAGAAGUGACUUUUUGGCAUUUAAUGUCCUGGUUUUCUUUCUCCUCAAUUAACGUGUGAGUAAAUGUGCUUGGGCCCCUAACAUAGAAACCAUUUUGUUCCUAUUGGGGUGGAUCAAAAAAAAAAAAAAAAAGAGAAGAAGAAGGAUAGAAGUGACACACCCAGGAGGCCGUUGUUCUAUUACGCCUCAUUUCAUAUGAGACAAAAAAAAUGUGAUUAUCAAUCCUUGAUGACAUUUUGGGCUUUUAGAUUCAUAGGCGUAAAUUUACCUUGGUCCAGUUCGAUCACAUUCCGGUGGUAGAUCUUUUCAUUGUUUCUCUUUUCGUCUCACGGAGGCAAGAUGAGCAGGGAAACUUGUAUCAGGUAUAUGAGACCCAUUGUGGGAGGGGAGCUACUGGCUUCCAUGAUCAGGAGAAUUAGAUUACAUUCUUAAAUGUGUAUAAGACCUAAUCUUGUGUUCUUGAUGAGCAUUAU
rnacentral:lncRNA from 1 species